rnacentral:rRNA from 1 species
CACGUAGGGGGCAAGCGUUGUUCGGAAUUAUUGGGCGUAAAGGGCGCGCAGGCGGCCUGGCAAGUCUGCUGUUAAAUGGUUGAGCUUAACUCAAUCAUGCGGUGGAAACUACAAGGCUAGAAUCAACGAGGGGAUGCCGGAAUUCCAGGUGUAGGGGUGAAAUCUGUAGAUAUCUGGAAGAACACCAAUGGCGAAGGCAGGCAUCUGGCGACUGAUUGACGCUGAGGCGCGAAGGUGCGGGGAGCAAACA